UACGUAGGUGGCAAGCGUUGUCCGGAAUUACUGGGCGUAAAGGGCGUGUAGGCGGCCUUUUAAGUCAGACGUGAAAACCCUGGGCUUAACCCAGGACCUGCGUUUGAUACUGAAGGGCUUGAGGACCGGAGAGGACAGUGGAAUUCCCAGUGUAGCGGUGAAAUGCGUAGAUAUUGGGAGGAACACCAGUGGCGAAGGCGACUGUCUGGACGGCACCUGGACGCUGAGGCGCGGAAAGCCAGG
rnacentral:rRNA from 1 species